GAAUCCAAUGGCUUCAUGCCCACAAUGCAUCAGAUGUUUCCAUUUCUGACCAAGGAAGUCCAGUCUAAGAUUGGGGACACUGAACAGAGGACGACAUCCAUAUGCAGAUUAAAGUUGUCUAUAAUCUCUGUAUGAAUAAAACUGUUAACUCCUGUUGAGUAUAAAGCGA